rnacentral:lncRNA from 10 species
GCCAAACAUUCCCUCUGGUCUGAGCUAAUGUUCCUGUUGCAUAGAUCCAGUUUCCUACCUAGCUAUUAGUCCCUUGAGUCCAAGAGAUAUUUCUUCUUACUCUUUGUACCUUCCCAUAGCGAUUAGAAAAGCAUGCCAGUCAAUAGUAAGUGUAGAGGAAGUUUGUUUAACUUGACUGGUUGAUUAGUGGGUUGAUUUACUGCCAGCUCAGUGGCUGUUUCUCUCCCAUUACUUCCACCUCCCAUGAGGACUGCACCUGCGGCAGCGAUUUUAUGUGAACUUGGAUUACUGUAUGGAAAUGGAGGAGUGAGAAAGUGUGGGAAUCAUAAAAGAAGGCAGAACCAAAAGACAGAGGGAUCUUGGGCCAUGAGUCACAGCAAGGAAAGCCUCCCACCAAACAUCUGCACUGGACUCCUACAGGAACAAGAAAUGAACUAUCGUGUUCAGCCCCUGAGACUUGGGCUUAACAUGAUUUUCACAUUGUCUACCCUACCUAAUAGAGCAGAGAUGUAAAUAUUAUUCUUAUUUUAGAGGUGUGAUGCCUCAGCUGCAAUGGGUGAGAACUACUCCUCAUUUAUUCUCUUCCAAGGCAAUAAAAGAGAAUGGACCAAAGACAGUCUGUCAUCACAUCUAGUCAAAAGAGCUAAUGUCGCAGUACAACUCUUCAAAAGAAAAAGAAAAAACAAGAAAAAAGUAAUAAACAGAUGUGUUCUGCUUGAUUGUUUGACUCCUUUUUCUUGUGUUUUCCUCUGGAAUUUCCCUGUAGCUAAAGGCCUUUGAUAUUCUAUGUCUACAAGAUGAUGGCAUCGGUGGUAGUGAUGGUUUCUUCUUUUUCUCUUUUUCCUUCUCCUUCUCCUCCUUUUUUUCUUUUCCUCUUCUUUCCUCCUCCCUUCCCUAUUCUCCUUCGUCUUCCUUUCUUUUCUCCGUCUCCCCUUCCUCUUUCAUCUCCUCUUAUUAUUAUUAUACUUUGUUCUUGAUCUAAAACAGCACUGUAUUAGAUGCCAAAUCUUUA